rnacentral:lncRNA from 1 species
AAGCAUAGCAGGAGCCAGGCAUUUGAGCAAAGUUUUCAAGGGUCUUUGUCCUUCUUUCCACAUUUUAGCUCCACGUGCCUCUGGUUGUCUUUAUUUUCUCAAUUUCCUUUGCUACAGCCCACCUUCCUCUUUACUGAAAACAUGGUUACCUGAGGAUCUGAGCUUAUAGCCACAGAAACUGAAAUCCUUAAGACAGAGAAAACUUCAUGGAAAAGGUUUGAUUGACUCGGUCCAUUUUUUGAGCAAUUUACUGUGAACAAGAAGAUCCAGUACCAUGAUUGAUCAGGUAGUCUUGUGUCCACCCCUGUAGUCAGGGAGCAGGAGGGCAUCAUGUUUGACAGCACCUCAAAAUCACAGGGACAGAAAAUCAUUCCCCAGUGAGCACACAAAAAUGACAGACAUCCACUUCAUUUUCCUUAUAUUAUUUUUACUUGAUUCUUAGGACUAAUAGGCUUUUCCAUCCAGAUUGUGCACAACAGGGACC